rnacentral:rRNA from 1 species
AACGAACGCUGGCGGCAGGCCUAACACAUGCAAGUCGAGCGGACCCUUCGGGGUUAGCGGCGGACGGGUGAGUAACGCGUGGGAAUAUGCCCUUCUCUACGGAAUAGUCCUGGGAAACUGGGGGUAAUACCGUAUACGCCCGUUGGGGGAAAGAUUUAUCGGGGAAGGAUUAGCCCGCGUUGGAUUAGGUAGUUGGUGGGGUAAUGGCCUACCAAGCCGACGAUCCAUAGCUGGUUUGAGAGGAUGAUCAGCCACACUGGGACUGAGACACGGCCCAGACUCCUACGGGAGGCAGCAGUGGGGAAUCUUAGACAAUGGGGGCAACCCUGAUCUAGCCAUGCCGCGUGAGUGAUGAAGGCCUUAGGGUUGUAAAGCUCUUUCAGCUGGGAAGAUAAUGACGGUACCAGCAGAAGAAGCCCCGGCUAACUCCGUGCCAGCCGCCGCGGUAACAC